CAUUACCUUCCUAAUCAGUGAAAACCACCGAUUUCUAUUCCCCCUCUUUUGUCCAGAUUAGCUACCGCUUCAGCAAACCUCCCUGUUUUACCCUCCCCCGAUCCCCUUUGUUUCUCUUCUGUUCCUUCUAGCUUCAUCCGCUUCUGGGUCUCCAGGUUACUGCAACUGUAUAAGAGAAAGGCCUUUGUCUUCUAAUUUCCU
rnacentral:lncRNA from 1 species